AACGAACGCUGGCGGCGUGCCUAACACAUGCAAGUCGAGCGGGAAAGUUCCCUUCGGGGAGCGAGUACAGCGGCGAACGGGUGAGUAACACGUAGGUAACCCUACCCUGGAGAUCGGGAUAACCUGCCGAAAGGCGGGCUAAUACCGGAUAAGACCACGAGGGCUGCGGCCCUUGAGGAAAAAGAUGGCCUCUGCUUGCAAGCUAUCACUCUGGGAUGGGCCUGCGCGCCAUUAGCUAGUUGGUGAGGUAACGGCUCACCAAGGCUGAGAUGGCUAGCUGGUCUGAGAGGAUGGCCAGCCACACUGGGACUGAGACACGGCCCAGACUCCUACGGGAGGCAGCAGUGGGGAAUAUUGCGCAAUGGGCGAAAGCCUGACGCAGCGACGCCGCGUGGGUGAUGAAGGCC
rnacentral:rRNA from 1 species